rnacentral:rRNA from 1 species
UACGGGGGGGGUAAGCGUUGUUCGGAAUUACUGGGCGUAAAGGGCUCGUAGGCGGCCAACUAAGUCAGACGUGAAAUCCCUCAGCUUAACUGGGGAACUGCGUCUGAUACUGGAUGGCUUGGAUUCGGGAGAGGAAUGCGGAAUUCCUGGUGUAGCGGUGAAAUGCGCAGAUAUCAGGAGGAACACCGGUGGCGAAGGCGGGUCUCUGGGCCGAAACUGACGCUGAGGAGCGAAAGCGUGGGGAGCAAACAGG